CAAAUCAAAUCUUCAAGGUAC
rnacentral:miRNA from 1 species